rnacentral:rRNA from 1 species
AUUCCAGCUCCAGUAGCGUAUAUUAAUGUUGUUGCAGUUAAAAAGCUCGUAGUUGGAUUUCUGACUUGACGCGCCUGGCCCGCCUUGCAUUUCGCGGGUGAGUGCCGGAGCGCGUCGGUCAUCCUUCUAGAGAACGGCGCUACCCUUCACUGGGUCGGCGUCGCAAUCUAGAUCUUUUACUUUGAAAAAAUUAGAGUGUUCAAGGCAGGCUCGCGCUGUGAAUACAUUAGCAUGGAAUAAUAAUCUAGGACUUUGUUCCUAUUUUGUUGGUUUCUAGGAAUUAAGUAAUGAUUGAUAGGGAUAGUUGGGGGUGCUAGUACUCAGCGGCCAGAGGUGAAAUUCUUGGAUUCGCUGAAGACUAACUUAUGCGAAAGCAUUCACCAAGGAUGUCUUCAUCA